CGGAGGGCAGGCGAGCAAUCUAUGGUUAUCAAUAGUGAGUGACACGGACCGUAAAUAAUAUCAGGUGCAUAAACUAGCUAGCUAAAGUUAUGUCGUAGCUGAAGGCCAUGAAGCCCUCGGAAGCCCAGGGACGGAAAAGAAGAUAAUAGGAGGAGGAAAAAUGUGAAAAAGACGGAGAAGCACUUUUAAAAUGUUUAAAUCCAGCCCGUACUAUCCAUGGGCCAUCUGCGAACACUUCUGCUCCCUCAGCCUCUGCAAGUGAUGCUGCGUCCAUCUCUUCUCCCUUCACCUCUGCACAAAACUUAUGGGUAAGGCAAAAUGUUGCUGCGCCGCGGACUUCGGAAGCAGGAGGAUUUCUCCGUCGUCUCUGAUUCCAAAAGUGGCCAUGGUGUCUGGGAAAGUGCAGCUGCAGGAUACUGGUAAGUU